rnacentral:rRNA from 1 species
CCUACGGGUGGCUGCAGUGAGGAAUAUUGGACAAUGGGGGUACCCCUGAUCCAGCGACGCCGCGUGAGGGAAGAAGUAUUUCGGUAUGUAAAGCUCUAUCAGCAGGGAAGCAAGGAAUGACAGUACCUGCCUAAGAAGCCCCAGCUAACUACGUGCCAUCAGCCGCUGUAAUACGUAGGGGGCAAGCGGUAUCCGGCUUUCCUGGGUGUAAAGGGAGCGUAGGCGGCGAUGCAAGUCUGAAGUGAAAGGCGGGGGCCCAACCCCCGGACUGCCUUGGAAACUGUAUGGCUGGAGUGCAGGAGAGGUAAGUGGAAUUCCUAGUGUAGCGGUGAAAUGCGUAGAUAUUAGGAGGAACACCAGUGGCGAAGGCGGCUUACCGG